UACGGAGGGAGCUAGCGUUGUUCGGAAUUACUGGGCGUAAAGCGCGCGUAGGCGGCUUUGUAAGUUAGAGGUGAAAGCCCGGGGCUCAACCCCGGAACUGCCUUUAAAACUGCAUCGCUUGAAUCCGGGAGAGGUGAGUGGAAUUCCGAGUGUAGAGGUGAAAUUCGUAGAUAUUCGGAAGAACACCAGUGGCGAAGGCGGCUCACUGGACCGCUAUUGACGCUGAGGUGCGAAAGCGUGGGGAGCAAACAGG
rnacentral:rRNA from 1 species